rnacentral:misc_RNA from 1 species
AUGAAGAACGCAGCGAAAUGCGAUAAGUAGUGUGAAUUGCAGAAUUCAGUGAAUCAUCGAAUCUUUGAACGCACAUUGCGCCUCCUGGCAUUCCGGGAGGCAUGCCUGUUCGAGCGUCAUCAAACCCCAUCGUGCAAAUGAAUUAUUUUUUUGCGCGGAAGUGACGAUUGAGCGAGAAUAACAAAUCCUCUCGCACCUCGUCGAAAUGAUUGCGGGCGGAAUUUGGGAUCGGGUUCCUCGGCGUAGUGUAUCAAUGCAUAUUUAUGCAACUUGCCGCGGAGUUGAGCCUGACCCACGCGUUCUCGCCGUACAAACACCUCAUUACUUUACAAGUUUUUGACCUCGGAUCAGGUAGGGAUACCCGCUGAACUUAAGCAUAUCAAUAAGCGGAGGA